rnacentral:rRNA from 1 species
AGAGUUUGAUCAUGGCUCAGGACGAACGCUGGCGGCGUGCUUUAUACAUGCAAGUCGAACGAUGAAGUUCCUUCGGGAAUGGAUUAGUGGCGAACGGGUGAGGAACACGUGAGAAACCUGCCUUUCAUUCUGGGAUAACACCGGGAAACCGGUGCUAAUACCGGAUACUCCAUCUUGGCGGCAUCGCCGAGCUGGGAAAAAAUUUUGAUGAAAGAUGGUCUCGCGGCCUAUCAGCUAGUUGAUGAGGUAAAGGCUCACCAAGGCGACGACGGGUAGCCGGCCUGAGAGGGCGACCGGCCACACUGGGACUGAGACACGGCCCAGACUCCUACGGGAGGCAGCAGUAGGGAAUAUUGGGCAAUGGGCGAAAGCCUGACCCAGCGACGCCGCGUGAGGGAUGAGGGUCUUCGGAUUGUAAACCUCUUUCAGUAGGGAAGAAGCGAAAGUGACGGUACCUAAAGAAGAAGCACCGGCUAACUAUGUGCCAGCAGCCGCGGUAAUACAUAGGGUGCAAGCGUUGUCCGGAAUUAUUGGGCGUAAAGAGCUCGUAAGUCGUUUGUCGCGUCGAUUGUGAAAAUCUGAGGCUCAACCUCAGACCUGCAGUCGAU